CUCACCUUCUCCCCGGGAGCGGCGGCGGGGGCGGGAGCCCAGGGCGCGGGCGCCUGGUCGCGCCGGGCCACGGGUCGGCUCCCGCAGUCCCGGCGGCAGUUGGUCUAGUAGUUUCGGAAGCCCGGGCUCCGGCUCCGAGGAUACAGCCUGAAGGACAAAGCUGCUAAGUUCUAGAAAGAGAUAACUUAAAUGUUUAUGUCUGGCAGGAGAGGAACACUCAGCAGCCUGUGCUUCUCAGCAAGCCUAACUUUCCCUCAGAGGAUCCUUGGCUCAGUAGCUCAUGGACGGAUGGAUGCACGGACGGCAAGAUUGUCAAGUGAUUUUGCCUAGCUUGUGCAAGAUCACACCUGGGGCUGAGAGCAGCUAUAGAUCCAGAAAUUGAGAAGUAAAGCUCUGGAAAGGGUUUCUACCUUGUCCAUGGUUGGAGGAUUAGAUUGGGGUAUUUGCACUUUUUUUUCUGUGCUGCUCUUCAGUUCCCACAGAUAUCCUGGCCUUCCUGCUUGCUGGUCGAAGUACGGAGGUAGAAUGGCUCCCAUGCCCUGAUCUCUGGAACCUGUGAAUAUGUGACAUUAACAUAGCAAAAGGGACUUGCAGAGAGUUCUUAAAAGCAAGAAAAGAUGUGAAAAAGAAGUCAGAGAAAUUUAAAGCACGAGAAGGAUUCAACAUGCUGUGGCUGGUUUAAAGAUGGAGGGACUGAUAUGACAAGGAAUGCAGGGGGUCUUCAGGAGCUGAAAGAGGCUCCUCUCUGACAGGCAGGAAGAAAAUGAGACCUGCCCUUACAACCAACCAUAAGGAACUGAAUUUGGCCAAUAACCUGAAUGAUCGUGGAAGCAGAUUCAUCUCCAGAGAAGAAUACAGCCCUACUGAUACUUUGGGUUUAGCUGAGCCAUGCUACACCACAGCUGUACCACAGAAAUGUGAGAGAAUAAAUGGGUGUUUGAUGUGA